rnacentral:lncRNA from 1 species
CAAUUAGUAAGAUUGUUUUUACCUCUAUUGAAUUGAAUAAUUGAUGGAAUUAGUUACAAAUGUAUAUUUUUUUUUAAGUUUCCUCUUGUUUUAAGUUUUAAGUUUUUUUUAAUUCAUUUGUUUACAGAAAAAGGAGAUUGACAAGUCUUAGGUAGCUUUACAGUUAUUCCUGUAGAAAGUGUGUAAUCUCAGAACUGUUUCUGGAAUGGACAAGAAGUGUUGAUCUGUGUAGUGGUAGACUUUCAGUCAUUGUUGUAUUUUUAUUUGUUGUUUGUUUAUUUAUGAUAAGUUCCCUCUCAUUUUGUUGUCACAUAUCAAAUGCAAUAUAUUUAUUUUAUUUUGUGUACAGAAUGAUUGAUUUGGUAAAUUGAUAUUUUAAUUUUUUGAAAAUUUAACAGUAUCGAUCUUAUGCAGUAGAGUUGUUUAAUGACCUCAGUUGAUUUAAGCUGGCAAUAUGUAUUCAGGUGGAAUUUACUGGUGAAAUUAUCUUUGCAUUUAUUUGGAUAAGGUUGUUUUGUUGAUUCUUUUUUUUUCUUUUUUUAAUAUUUUGGUCUUUUUAAGACAGCCGAAGAUGUUUUCUUAUGUUUCAUUGCAAGAAAACUGACAUGGCUUUAGAAUUUUAAAAGAUAUUUAAUUGACAUAGAGUAGCAAGUUGACAAAGUAAUAUUAGGAAAAUUCAAUAAUAUAAAAAUCAUUUUAUAAAAUGAUUUAAAUAAAUGAUUUUGAUAUAUCAGACUUAUUUCAACAAAACAAGUAUUAGGUUGGGGUUUCUGUUCUUGAAAAGGAAAAUUAAAAGAUUAAAAGAUGAUAAGCAAUUAUAUAUAUAUAAAAAGGGGGGAUUAAAUAUUCACACAUAAUUUUAAGAUUUAAUAUAAACGUUUACUAUUUCAAUUUCUACAAGUCCAACAGUAAAUAUAUAUACUGUUUAUUUGAUAGUUUAAUAAUGAAUUAACACAUGACGAAUCAGGGCACCACACAAUAUAAUUUUCAUAAUAAAAUUGUGCAGAUAAAAUUUAAUAAACAUUGAUGUUGAUAAGGAUUUACUUGAUUUGAUUGAUUAAUGCAUGUCAAUUUCAUAUAGAAUGUCAUAUGAGGUCACAUGGAAUUAAGUUUUAUAUUCUUGCCUUCCCCUAUCUUUUCUUUAAUUUUAUAUUUUUACGCUAUAUUUUAAUAGCAUUAUUACAUGAAAUUAGUUUUAUGUUGCAAUGAUACAAACAAUUUCAGGAAGUCCAUAGAGAUGCUAUAAGAAAAUAAUGAAAUGAAUAUAGUUGUGCCUCUCUAUUUUUAAAGAUCCCUGCCACGAAAACCUAAGGCAUAUAAAAAAAAGUACAGAACUUGUAUCAUUUAUGUAAAUUGGGACUUAAGUAUGAUGCCAAUCCUAUUUAUAGAUCCUAUUUAUAGUCUAGAACUUUGCUACCUAUUGCUAGCCAAAAGAAAAAGGACAAACUGUAUUCCUAUCACCUGUUAUUCUAGAUAACAGAUUUGGUCGAUCAUAAUCAAUUUUUUGACAUAAUUAUUGUUCCAUCCAUAUCUUUGUGCAUGUAUUUUGUAAAAUAUUUGGAUGGAUUUUUCUAUUGAAUGAAUCUAAAUUGGCAUGAUGCCAGAUGUUUUGUUGUUAUUGAGAUCAGUAUUAUCUGAUGUUUCACUGAAUUUACUGAUUAAAUCUAUACACAAA